rnacentral:rRNA from 1 species
UACGAAGGGGGCUAGCGCUGCUCGGAAUCACUGGGCGUAAAGCGCACGUAGGCGGAUUGUUAAGUCAGGGGUGAAAUCCUGGAGCUCAACUCCAGAACUGCCUUUGAUACUGGCGAUCUCGAGUCCGGGAGAGGUGAGUGGAACUGCGAGUGUAGAGGUGAAAUUCGUAAAUAUUCGCAAGAACACCAGUGGCGAAGGCGGCUCACUGGCCCGGUACUGACGCUGAGGUGCGAAAGCGUGGGGAGCAAACAGG